AGAGUUUGAUCAUGGCUCAGAAUCAACGCUGGCGGCGCGCUUAACACAUGCAAGUCGAACGGGAAAGUGGAGCAAUCCAUGAGUACAGUGGCGUACGGGUGAGUAACACGUGGGUGAUCUACCUUUUAGUGGGGAAUAACCCUGGGAAACCGGGGCUAAUACCGCAUAAUCCCGAGAGGGGAAAGUCGUAAGACGCUGAAAGAGGAGCCCGCGGCCGAUUAGCUAGUUGGUAGGGUAAGAGCCUACCAAGGCAGAGAUCGGUAGCCGGCCUGAGAGGGCACACGGCCACACUGGCACUGAAACACGGGCCAGACUCCUACGGGAGGCAGCAGUGGGGAAUCUUGCACAAUGGGGGCAACCCUGAUGCAGCGACGCCGCGUGAGCGAUGAAGCCCUUCGGGGUGUAAAGCUCUUUCGUCAGGGAAGAUGAUGACGGUACCUGGAGAAGCAGCUGCGGCUAACUACGUGCCAGCAGCCGCGGUAAUACGUAGGCAGCGAGCGUUGUUCGGAGUUACUGGGCGUAAAGGGUGUGUAGGCGGUUCUUUAAGUUUGGUGUGAAAUCUCCCGGCUCAACCGGGAGGGUGCGCCGAAUACUGAGGGACUAGAGUGCGGGAGAGGAAAGUGGAAUUCCUGGUGUAGCGGUGAAAUGCGUAGAUAUCAGGAGGAACACCGGUGGUGUAGACGGCUUUCUGGACCGUAACUGACGCUGAGACACGAAAGCGUGGGUAGCAAACAGGAUUAGAUACCCUAGUAGUCC
rnacentral:rRNA from 1 species